rnacentral:rRNA from 1 species
UACGGAGGGUGCAAACGUUGCUCGGAAUCAUUGGGCGUAAAGCGCACGUAGGCGGAUCGUUAAGUCGGGGGUGAAAUCCUGGAGCUCAACUCCAGAACUGCCUUCGAUACUGGCGAUCUUGAGUCCGGAAGAGGUGGGUGGAAUUCCUAGUGUAGAGGUGAAAUUCGUAGAUAUUAGGAAGAACACCGGUGGCGAAGGCGGCCCACUGGUCCGGUACUGACGCUGAGGUGCGAAAGCGUGGGGAGCAAACAGG